AUACCUUUCUCAGCCUUUUGGAUAAGAUCAAGCGUAGUAUCUGUUCUUAUUAGUUUAAUAUCUGAUAUAUAGACCAUUAUGUCCACUUGAUAUUAAAUUUAUUUAUUUUAGGGAAGGAUCUAUCACAAUGGCUUGCCAUUAGGAACCUUAUGUUGCCUAGGCGUUGCCCUGCAGCCUUGGCUUGGCGCACCCCAA
rnacentral:snRNA from 1 species